GGCAUGGUGCUGUGCCCAAGGGGCGUGUGAGGUUGCAGAAUAAGCAUAACAUGCUCCGUAGUACCGGGUGGUCUUGGUACCUCCUCCUCCUCCUUUAAAGAUGAAAAUUAACAAGGAUAUAAUUUGGAAGCUGUUUUGCAAACGUGGAGCUGCCCCCUGAUGUAUCCCUUGGAAUGGUUUGGAGAGGCAAGGAAACAAUAACUUGGGAAAAAUGCUAAGAGAGCCAGCAUUAUGCAGACUCUGAAAUCGAAUGAAUCUGAAUCCUGCCACUGUCAUUUACUAGUUGCAUGGCUUUGCACAACAUACUUUGACCCUCUUGCCUCAGUUUUCUCCUCUGUCAAGGAUAUGCAAACAUCUGUGGUCAUCUGCUGAGGAAAGUAAAUGAAACCGUGGCCUUUUCUCCCCGGCUCUGCCAGUUCUGGGGGCAGAUGACAAAGGCAACUUAAUCCCAGUUGAAAGAAUCAAAAGGGUGAAAAACUUCCUGGU